rnacentral:misc_RNA from 1 species
AACGCACAUUGCAACUCCCAUCACGAGGGAGGUAUGCCUGUCUGAGCGUCAUUAAAACCGAUAAACCCCUGGGUUUGUAUUGGGCUCCGCGCGUGCGCGUCGUGUUGCCCCGAAGUCAUGGCCUAACCUGCGGACGAGCUCCUCUCGGACUUACCGUGGGGUCCAUGGACCCGAGUACAUCUAGAUCUGACCUCAGAUCAGGUAGGAAGACCGUCUGAACUUAA